rnacentral:rRNA from 1 species
UACGGAGGGGGCUAGCGUUUUUCGGAAUCAUUGGGCGUAAAGCGCACGUAGGCGGUUCGUUAAGUCGGGUGUGAAAGCCCUGGGCUCAACCCAGGAAGUGCAUCCGAAACUGGCGAGCUGGAGUAUGGAAGAGGGUCGCGGAAUUCCCGGUGUAGAGGUGAAAUUCGUAGAUAUCGGGAGGAACACCAGUGGCGAAGGCGGCGACCUGGGCCAAUACUGACGCUGAGGUGCGAAAGCGUGGGGAGCAAACAGG